rnacentral:rRNA from 1 species
UACGUAGGGGGCAAGCGUUGUCCGGAUUCAUUGGGCGUAAAGAGCGUGUAGGCGGCCAGGUAGGUCGGUUGUGAAAACUGGAGGCUCAACCUUCAGACGUCGACCCAAACCCCCUGGCUAGAGUCCGGAAGAGGAGAGUGGAAUUCCUGGUGUAGCGGUGAAAUGCGCAGAUAUCAGGAAGAACACCCGUGGCGAAGGCGGCUCUCUGGGACGGUACUGACGCUGAGACGCGAAAGCGUGGGGAGCGAACAGG